AGUGAACGCUGGCGGUAGGCCUAACACAUGCAAGUCGAACGGCAACACAGUAAGAGCUUGCUCUUACGGGUGGCGAGUGGCGGACGGGUGAGGAAUACAUCGGAAUCUACUUUUUCGUGGGGGAUAACGUAGGGAAACUUACGCUAAUACCGCAUACGACCUACGGGUGAAAGCAGUGGAUCUUCUGACCUUGCGCGAUUGAAUUAGCCGAUGUCGGAUUAGCUAGUUGGCGGGGUAAAGGCCCACCAAGGCGACGAUCCGUAGCUGGUCUGAGAGGAUGAUCAGCCACACUGGAACUGAGACACGGUCCAGACUCCUACGGGAGGCAGCAGUGGGGAAUAUUGGACAAAGGGCGCAAGCCUGAUCCAGCCAUACCGCGUGGGUGAAGAAGGCCUUCGGGUUGUAAAGCCCUUUUGUUGGGAAAGAAAAGCAGCAGGUUAAUACCCCGCUGUUCUGACGGUACCCAAAGAAUAAGCACCGGCUAACUUCGUG
rnacentral:rRNA from 1 species